rnacentral:lncRNA from 1 species
UAUAUUUAUUUAUUUAUGAACUUAAAAAGGACUUUGCUACUCAUUCAUGUGUUGAGUUCUUGAAAUUUGAUUGUAACAACAUAUUUUAGGUUGUAUAAAUUUGAUUAUGAUAUGUUAAUACAUCUUGUUACUAACUUCAUACAAUAUAUAAAUGAAUCAUUGUAGACAAGUGCUUUGGUGGAUGAAUUAAACCGAGUGAGUGCUGAGAACAAGAAGCUCUCGGAGAUGCUAACUUUAAUGUGUGAAAACUACAACGUCUUGAGGAAACAGCUGAUGGAAUAUGUUAACAAGAGCAACAACGUGACAGAGAGAGACCAAAUCAGUCCUCCCAAGAAACGCAAAUCUCCAGCGAGAGAUGACGCAGUUAGCUCUGCGGUUAUCGGUGGAGUGUCAGAGAGUAGCUCUACGGAUCAAGAUGGUCAGUAUCUGUGCAAGAAGAAGCAGAGAGAAGAGACUGUUGUGAAGGAAAAUGUCUCAAGGGUUUAUUACAAGACCGAAGCUUCUGACACUACCCUCGUAAGCUUUUCAUGAAAACUAGCUAGUAAAUUUGGUAUAAAUAUCUUAUAAAAACUAUAUAUGUUUUUAUUGAUUAUAGAAGUUGUGUUCUUUAUAGGUAGUGAAAGAUGGGUAUCAAUGGAGGAAAUAUGGACAGAAAGUGACUAGAGACAACCCAUCUCCAAGAGCUUACUUCAAAUGUGCUUGUGCUCCAAGCUGUUCUGUCAAAAAGAAGGUACUACUAAUCAAGAUUAAGAAACAAAAAAAAAACAGAAUUAGAAUAAAUGGAAUGAUAAUACAUGAAAAAAUGGAACGGAACUCAUUCCAUUCAUUCAUAACCAAAUUUGUUAUGGAAUAAUUUUCUUUGUAUUUUAUCUCUUUUGUCGUGGAAUUAAUGGAAUGAAUAUUCUAUUCCAUUCAUGUCAAAUGGUGAAAUUUUUUUUGGAAUUAAUGGAAUGAGUCAUUCCACAUCGUUCCAUUCCAAAAAUCAACAAUCGAAUUGCAGCCUAUAUGUAUGGAUGUAUGCACACAAAGAUUUUUAUAUAUACUUGGUAUAUAUUUGUUUAUUUAUUUAUGAACUUAAAAAGGACUUUGCUACUAAUUCAUGUGUUAAGUUCUUGAAAUUUGAUUGUAACAACAUAUUUUAAGGUUGUAUAAAUUUGAUUGUGAUAUGCUAAUACAUCUUGUUACUAACUUCAUACAGUAUAUAUAUAUAAAUGAAUCAUUGUAGACAAGUGCUUUGGUGGAUGAAUUAAACCGAGUGAGUGCUGAGAACAAGAAGCUCUCGGAGAUGCUAACUUUAAU